GCCCGGGAAUAGCUCAGUUGGUAGAGCAGAGGACUGAAAAUCCUCGUGUCACCAGUU
rnacentral:tRNA from 1 species